rnacentral:rRNA from 1 species
CAGAGGUCCCGAGCGUUGUUCGGAUUUAUUGGGCGUAAAGGGUGCGUAGGCGGCGGAGUAAGUUGGGUGUGAAAUCCCGGGGGCUCAACCUCGGAAUUGCAUUCAAUACUGCUUCGCUCGAGUACCUGGAGAGGAGACUGGAAUUUACGGUGUAGCAGUGAAAUGCGUAGAUAUCGUAAGGAAGGCCGGUGGCGAAAGCGAGUCUCUGGACAGUUACUGACGCUGAUGCACGAAGGCCAGGGGAGCAAACGGGAUUAGAUACCCCGGUAGUCCUGGCAGUAAACGGUGCGCGUUUGGUGUGGGGGGAUUCGACAAUCUCCGCGCCGGAGCUAACGCGUUAAACGCGCCGCCUGGGAAAUACGGUCGCAAGAUUA